GACGAACGCUGGCGGCGUGCUUAACACAUGCAAGUCGAACGGAAAGGCCCUGCUUUUGUGGGGUGCUCGAGUGGCGAACGGGUGAGUAACACGUGAGUAACCUGCCCUUGACUUUGGGAUAACUUAAGGAAACUGGGGCUAAUACCGGAUAGGAGCUCCUGCUGCAUGGUGGGGGUUGGAAAGUUUCGGCGGUUGGGGAUGGACUCGCGGCUUAUCAGCUUGUUGGUGGGGUAGUGGCUUACCAAGGCUUUGACGGGUAGCCGGCCUGAGAGGGUGACCGGCCACAUUGGGACUGCGAUACGGCCCAGACUCCUACGGGAGGCAGCAGUGGGGAAUAUUGCACAAUGGGCGGAAGCCUGAUGCAGCAACGCCGCGUGCGGGAUGACGGCCUUCGGGUUGUAAACCGCUUUCGCCUGUGACGAAGCGUGAGUGACGGUAAUGGGUAAAGAAGCACCGGCUAACUACGUG
rnacentral:rRNA from 1 species